UACAGGGGGUGCAAACGUUGUUCGGAAUCAUUGGGCGUAAAGCGCACGUAGGCGGUUCGUUAUGUCGGAUGUGAAAGCCCUUGGCUUAACCGAGGAAGUGCAUCCGAAACUGGCGAGCUAGAGUACGAAAGAGGAUCGCGGAAUUCCCGGUGUAGAGGUGAAAUUCGUAGAUAUUCGGAAGAACACCAGUGGCGAAGGCGACUUACUGGACACGUAUUGACGCUGAGGUGCGAAAGCGUGGGGAGCAAACAGG
rnacentral:rRNA from 1 species